GGGUACUCCGGGAUACCGUGGUACGCCUGGUUCAGCUGGACCUACAGGUGAAAAGGGGCCACCUGGUGAGCGAGGUAGUCCAGGAAGUGCUGGUCCAAGAGGAGCUCCUGGAGAAUCAGGACGGGAUGGCAGCCCUGGGCUUCCAGGAAUGAGAGGCUUGACAGGAAGUCCAGGUGGUCCAGGAUCAGAUGGGAAACCAGGUCCUUCUGUACGUCACUAUAUUCUGUUGUUUUACCUGAUACUACUUUUGUUUCUGUGCCUUACUUUGAUGUCACUAUAUGAGCAUUUAAUUUAGUUGCUUGUUUCAGUUCUUGGGAAAAUAUUUACAAGCAUUUCAUUGACCAUUUAA